GGAUGCGAUCAUACCAGCACUAAAGCACCGGAUCCCAUCCAGAACUCCGAAGUUAAGCGUGCUUGGGCGAGAGUAGUACUAGGAUGGGUGACCUCUUGGGAAGUCCUCGUGUUGCAUUCC
rnacentral:rRNA from 1 species